CAAGUCGUACGCUCCGCAAGGGGCGUGGCGCAAGGGUGAGUAAGGCGACGGUAACCAACCCCAGGGCUGGCCAUAGCCGCGGGAAACUGCGGGUAAUAGCCAGCGACGCAACGGCAGGGCAUCUUGCUGUUGCCAAAGGUGUGAUUCCGCCCUGGGACGGGCCGUCGUGGUAUUAGGUUGUUGGCGGGGUGAUGGCCCACCAAGCCUGUGAUGCCUACCGGGCGUGCGAGCGUGGCCCGGCACACUGGGACUGAGACACUGCCCAGACUCCUACGGGAGGCUGCAGUCGAGAAUCUUCGGCAAUGGGCGCAAGCCUGACCGAGCGACGCCGCGUGGAGGACGAAGGCCUUCGGGUUGUAAACUCCUGUCGAGGGGGAACAAGGGCCGGUGCAGAGCCGGUCUUGAGUGAACCCUGGAGGAAGCACGGGCUAAGUUCGUGCCAGCAGCCGCGGUAAGACGAACCGUGCGAACGUUAUUCGGAAUCACUGGGCUUAAAGCGCGUGUAGGCGGGCCGCCACGUCGGAUGCUGAAAUCCCCCGGCUCAACCGGGGAACGGGCACCGAUACGAGCGGCCUGGAGGGGAGUAGGGGGACCUGGAACUUCCGGUGGAGCGGUGAAAUGCGUUGAGAUCGGAAGGAACGCCCGUGGCGAAAGCGAGGUCCUGGGCUCUUACUGACGCUGAGACGCGAAAGCCAGGGGAGCAAACGGGAUUAGAUACCCCGGUAGUCCUGGCCGUAAAC
rnacentral:rRNA from 1 species